UCUUCUUUCACUAAUUACAAUCGCAUGUCAUCCCAUAAAAAUGCUUAAGAGGUCGACAUUUCCCUUUCGGAAGAACAUUUGAAACCCUGGCAGAGCGCCAAGCCAAGCAAUUUCUCAUCGAUUCCUCGCAUUUUGCUGUCUAUUCGUUCGUCUCGUAGAGGAAAAAGGUUGCGGUGUUGAUCUCCGCCACUCCACUGCUAGUAGGAAAGUCGGAGGAGAGACGGAAGCUCGCGGACCUCCCUCGAUCCGAAGAAGGAGAAGCCUCUGCGAGCCAAGCUGUUUCCGUCCUCGUCCUGGUUCCUGGCUCCUGACCUAUAGACAGGACCUCCGAGCAUCCCUCUCCAAGUCGACAGCUUCAUCCUCAGUUUCAUCCUAGGUAUUUUGUCGACCUCAGCUAGUUCCUUCCAUUGAAGGUCUAAAUUAGAAUUAAGAUUUGGUGGUUGGGACAGUCAAGGUUUUAAUUGAAGGAAUCAUCAUCAUCAGCAAUAGCAGGAGCAGCAGUAGUAGAACAUGCUCUGCUUCCUAUCUUCGAAAUCCGACGCUCCGUUGUCCCAUUUGAUCACAAUUCUUCGUCCUCUUUUGUCAAUGAGAAAGACAGGGAAGGAGUGGAGAAAGGAAGGAGGGAGUGUGUCCCACACACACUAUUUUGCAUCGCCAAGGGAUCUGCGUGAAGAUGUUUCUAACUGUUAUUUUUAAGUCAUUACAGUGGUGAAUGGAUAGUCAAAAUAUUUGGCUUUUGAAGUGUGAAAUCAUAGAUAAGGGAUUUCUAUGGAGAUUCUCAGCUUUAGUAGAAGAUGUCAUGAUUGCUAAGGAGGAAGAUUUUUCACAAUGGAGAUAUAUAUCUCAACUUUUUUCCAGUCAUUUUCUUCAAGAAUAUUAUUUGUUGUUAUAGGGUUACUACUCUUCUUACAUAUCAGAGCAGCACUACCAGACAGUUCUGUAUUUAUGAACUUGGUCAAUGGCUCUUGCCCAAGUUGGGGCGUAUUGUGUAAUGCAUAUUGCAACUUACUCAUCUUGUAAAUGCUAAAUGAACUUAAGGGGAUAAAAUAUGUGGCCUCA